rnacentral:misc_RNA from 1 species
CCUGUCGACGAUCCCGCCGAUCCAGACCAUCAUCGGGGGAUGGAACGGGGUGACGAUUGGAAACUCCCGGCCCCAGGCGAUCAACUCACGGGUAUCGUACAUCGCGGUCGGAAAGACGACGACGGCGAGCAGCACCGGCAACAGAAGCGCAAGCCCAAGAACGGCAAGCGCAGGACCGCGCCUCAGGCCUGAACGAUGCUCACUGGGCAUGACGUUGAUGUGCCU